UACGUAGGGUGCAAGCGUUAAUCGGAAUUACUGGGCGUAAAGCGCACGUAGGCGGCUUGUUAAGUCAGGGGUGAAAUCCUGGAGCUCAACUCCAGAACUGCCUUCGAUACUGGCGAUCUAGAGUCCGGGAGAGGUGAGUGGAACUGCGAGUGUAGAGGUGAAAUUCGUAGAUAUUCGCAAGAACACCAGUGGCGAAGGCGGCUCACUGGCCCGGUACUGACGCUGAGGUGCGAAAGCGUGGGGAGCAAACAGG
rnacentral:rRNA from 1 species